CACAGAGAAGGGGGAGGCGCGGACAGUGCAGGUGAUGAAGUGAGUUAAAGCGCAGGCGGAUGGCUGAGUUGAAGAUAUCCAAACAGUGGAAAAACUAUCUUGACUCCUGGUAUUCUGACUUGGGGUGUAUGCUUUGGACCACUAUGCUACCUGGAUUCUGAAUAGAGUGGGACCCAGAUCCUUAAGGUCUUUUUUGUUCACAGAAAUUAGAGGAGUUCUUACUGUGUGUUGCACAUCAUGCAUGUGGGACAUGCCAGGAUAUCGAAUGUGGAUCAUGGACAAGAGAUUCUCUAAAGGAACUUUCCUUAUUGUGGCUGAAACAGAUACAUAAUCUCCA